UUGUGCAUGAUGAGGACAUCAAUACCAUUGUUACACCCACAGCCCCUACUGUUACAUAUACUGGACCAAUUACUAGAGCUCGCGCAUGUCAAUUAAAUUACCAGGUACUUCCGUUUCUUGGUAAUGAUUCUAAUGUUCAUGAGAUUAUGAUGCUGUCUAAAUUGGAUACAUUUGUUUUGCUUACAAAUGAAGGGCCUAGCUUGGAGAAGGAUGAACAUUGGAGCAAGAACACGCAUGGAGUUGAUGGCAUGCACAAGGGGAUCAAGAACGAAGUUACAAGUGAUGGUUUCAGGACUUUGAAGCCGCCAUAAGGAGUGCAUGAAGCCUUGGACGAAAUAUACAAGAUGCCACUUCAUAAUAUUCGUCCACAGGCUAUUCUAGGUGCUGCGUCACCUUAUUAAUGGGCCAGGCCCAUGUAAUUUCGAAAUACUUAAGUACAGGCUAUUUUUAGAGUCCGUAUGUGUGGGGAAACAAGAGUUAGGGUUGGUUUUGGACCCCAUCCUCAAGGGCCACGAAAUUCCCCCCUCUUCCUCCAUAUAUACAGCCCUUAGGGCAUCGUUUAGACUUUGGGUUUUGUUUAGAUUAAAAGUUCGCCAUAGCUGCAACUUCGCGUACUUCGUUUGUGUCCAACGACCAGACCAAGACGUUACAGAACCCCACCUUGAUCAAUAAAGCUUUCAUCUUAUAUUCGCAAUAUCCCGAUUGCAAUCUCAGUUUUUUGCUUGUUCUUCGUUUGUUCGCAGGAAACAGAUCCUCGUGGUCAGGUUGAUUGUGCUCCGGCGUGGUCAAUAACCCUCGGAAGUUGGUUUAGCGAUUGCUAAGGCGCGACGUCUCGCACGUUCGUAGUCGGAUCGUCAAGGUCGACUCCCACAGAAAACGAUAGCCACCAUCUCAUCGAAACAUCGGGACACCUUAGCAUCUAUCAAGUGGUAUCAGAUUUCCAGGUUGCUUGGUGAGAUUUUAUAGUUUUUCGUAGAUUAGAUCGAGUCUGUUCUUCAUACCUACAGUCCAUGAAAAAGCCACAAAAAAAAUUAGGGUUAGUUCAUCAUAUCCGAACCAAUCUGAGCCUUUGCAUAAUCUUUUUAGGGUUUUUUUUGUUGAAUUUGCGGUUGCAUUAUCGUGUCAAGUUGCUGGUCUUAGAGUUUAGUCUUUUAGAGUUUCGAGUUUUGGUCAUAAGUUGUCACGCCGCCGCCGCACCAUCAUCAUCGCCCAUCUACCACUUUUGCUUAUCCGCCACCGCUUUGAAUCCAUAUCCAUAUAUCCACCACCAAUCCGAGUUCGUCUCAUAUUAGGUUUGUUCUUGAUAUCAAUCUAAAUUCCGCUUCGUGUUUCCUUGCCCGCGUAGGUCUCGAAAAAAAAAGAGUCUGGAGACCACGUGCAUCAUCUACUUCCACACGUUCUGCUACACCGGCGCCUCCGUCGGCUGCCACCUCCAACCGUGAUACAAUAAAGCAGGCACAAUCACCACUAUCUGCCAAGAGCACACCUUCUGGGCCUGCAAAGAGCUCUUCUUCAUCCAUGGCAUCAACAGGGCAAACACAUGAUAUUAUUUGUUGACGUUGCAAGGGUGGAGGUCAUUAUGCGAGAGAAUGCCCAUCUAAGCAUGUGAUGAUUGUUACUGAGGAUGGUGGGUAUGAGUCCGCUAGUGACUAUGAUGAGGAGACUUUGGCUCUUAUUACACGUGACGAACACGGUGGAGACGAUUCUGAUCAUGAGACGCAAUACAUGGCUCCUGAAGAUGCUGACAAGUAUGAAUGUUUAGUUGCUCAACGUGUUUUGAGUGUGCAGGUUACACAAGCUGAGCAAAAUCAGAGGCAUAAUUUGUUCCAUACAAAGGGAGUUGUGAAGGAACGUUCUGUUCGCGUGAUCAUAGAUGGAGGGAGCUGCAAUAACUUGGCUAGCAUGGAGAUGGUGGAGAAGCUAUCUCUCACCACAAGACCACAUCCACAUCCAUACUACAUCCAAUGGUUCAACAACAGCGGCAAGGUUAAGGUAACACGUACUGUUCGUGUGCAUUUUAGUAUCUCUACAUAUGCUGAUUAUGUUGAUUGUGAUGUGGUACCUAUGAAAGCAUGUUCCUUAUUACUUGGUAGACCAUGGCAAUUUGAUAAAAAUUCUGUACACCAUGGUAGAAACAAUCAGUAUACUCUUGUUCAUAACGAUAAAAAUAUUACUUUGCUUCCUAUGACUCCUGAUUCCAUUUUGAAAGAUGAUAUUAAUAGAGCUAAUAAAGCAAAACAGGAGACAAAUAAGAGUGAAAAUCAGAUUGUGGCAAAAGAAUUUGAGCACCAAAUGAAGCCUAAUAAUAAACCAUCUACUGUUGUUUCUGAAAUUAAAUUGAAAAGUGCAUGUUUACUUGCCACAAAAUCUGAUAUUGAUGAGCUAGAUUUUAGCAAAUCUGUUUGCUAUGCUUUUGUGUGCAAAGAGGCAUUAUUUUCAUUCGAGGACGUGCCUUCCUCUUUGCCCCCUGCUGUCACUAACAUUUUGCAGGAGUUCGCUGACGUCUUUCCACAAGACGUGCCACCGGGAUUACCACCUAUUCAAGGGAUUGAGCAUCAAAUUGACUUAAUUCCCGGUGCUUCGCUACCCAACCGUGCACCAUACCGUACCAAUCUAGAGGAGACGAAGGAGAUUACACGUCAAGUACAAGAACUGCUCGACAAAGGUUAUAUACGCGAAUCCCUUAGUCCUUGUGCUGUUCCUAUCAUUUUAGUGCCGAAAAAGGAUGGUACGUCGCGUAUGUGCGUUGAUUGUAGAGGCAUUAAUAAUAUUACUAUUCGUUAUCGUCAUCCUAUUCUUAGGCUAGAUGAUAUGCUUGAUGAAUUGAGUGGCUCUACAAUAUUCUCCAAAGUUGAUUUGCGUAGUGGAUACCAUCAAAUUCGUAUGAAAUUGGGUGAUGAAUGGAAAACAUCAUUUAAAACUAAGUUUGGAUUAUAUGAGUGGUUAGUCAUGCCUUUUGGGUUAACUAAUGCACCUAGUACUUUCAUGAGGUUAAUGAACGAAGUUUUACGUGCUUUCAUUGGAUGAUUUGUGGUAGUUUACUUUGAUGACAUAUUGAUUUAUAGCAAAUCUUUGGAGGAACAUUUGGAACAUUUAUGUGCUGUUUUUAUUGCUCUACGUGAUGCACGUUUGUUUGGAAACCUUGGAAAGUGCACCUUUUGCACCGACCGAGUAUCUUUUCUUGGCUAUGUUGUUACUCCACAGGGAAUUGAAGUUGAUAAAGCCAAGAUUGAAGCUAUUGAGAGUUGGCCGCAGCCCAAAACGGUCACACAAGUGAGGAGUUUCCUUGGCCUCGCUGGUUUCUAUAGGCGUUUUGUGAGAGAUUUCAGCACCAUUGCUGCACCUCUCAACGAGCUUACAAAGAAGGAUGUGCCUUUUGUUUGGGGUACCUCACAGGAAGAAGCCUUCACGGUAUUGAAAGAUAAGUUGACACAUGUUCCUUUACUCCAACUUCCUAAUUUCAAUAAGACUUUUUCGCUUGAAUGUGAUGCUAGUGGAAUUGGAUUAGGAGGUGUGUUAUUACAAGAUGGAAAACCUGUUGCAUACUUUUCUGAAAAAUUGAGUGGGCCUAGUCUGAACUAUUCUACUUAUGAUAAAGAAUUAUAUGCUCUUAUUCGGACCUUAGAAACAUGGCAACAUUAUUUAUGGCCCAAGGAAUUUGUUAUACAUUCUAAUCAUGAAUCUUUGAAACACAUUAAAAGUCAAGAAAAACUGAACCGUAGACAUGCUAAAUGGGUUGAAUUCAUUGAGACUUUCCCUUAUGUCAUUAAACACAAGAAGGGUAAAGAAAAUGUUAUUGCUGAUGCCUUGUCUCGUCGUUAUACUAUGCUUUCACAACUUGACUUUAAAAUAUUUGGUUUGGAGACCAUCAAAGAUCAAUAUGUUCAUGAUGCUGAAUUUAAAGAUGUAUUGCAGAAUUGUAAGGAAGGGAGAACUUGGAACAAGUUCGUUCUUAAUGAUGGAUUUGUGUUUCGUGCUAACAAGCUAUGCAUUCCAGCUAGCUCCGUUCGUCUUUUGUUGUUGCAGGAGGCGCAUGGAGGAGGAUUAAUGGGACACUUUGGCGUCAAGAAGACGGAGGAUAUACUUGCUACACAUUUCUUUUGGCCAAAGAUGAGACGGGAUGUUGAGCGUUUUGUUGCUCGCUGCACUACAUGUCAAAGAGCUAAGUCACGACUCAAUCCUCAUGGUUUAUAAUGCCUUUAUCUGUACCUAGUGUUCCUUGGGAGGAUAUAUCUAUGGACUUUGUUUUAGGUUUACCUCGAACAAAGAAGGGGAGGGAUAGCAUAUUUGUUGUCGUGGAUAGGUUCUCGAAAAUGGCACACUUUAUACCAUGUCAUAAAAGCGAUGAUGCUGUUAAUGUUGCUGAUUUGUUCUUCCGUGAAAUUAUUCGCUUACAUGGUGUGCCAAAUACUAUUGUUUCAGAUUGUGAUACUAAAUUUCUUAGCCACUUUUGGAGAUGUUUAUGGGCUAAGUUGGGGACUAAGCUGCUUUUUAGUACUACUUGUCACCCCCAAACUGAUGGACAAACUGAAGUAGUCAAUAGAACAUUGUCUACUAUGCUUAGGGCUGUUUUGAAGAAUAACAAGAAAAUGUGGGAAGAAUGCUUGCCUCAUAUUGAAUUUGCUUAUAAUCGUUCAUUGCAUUCUACUACUAAGAUGUGCCCUUUUGAAAUUGUGUAUGGUUUCCGACCUCGUGCACCUAUUAAUUUGUUGCCUCUUCCAUCUUCAGAGAAGGUUAAUUUUGAUGCUAAAGAACGUUCUGAAUUGAUUUUAAAAAUGCAUGAGUUAACUAAGGAAAACAUUGAGCGUAUGAAUGCUAAAUAUAAACUUGCUGGAGAUAAGGUAGAAAACAUGUUGUGUUUGCGCCUGGAGAUCUUGUUUGGUUACAUUUGCGUAAAGAUAGAUUUCCUAAUCUACGCAAAUCAAAGCUAAAGCCACGUGCUGAUGGUCCUUUUAAGGUGUUAGAGAAAAUAAAUGAUAAUGCAUAUAAACUUGAGCUACCUGUAGAUUUUGGGGUUAGUCCCACUUUUAACAUUGCAGAUUUGAAGCCUUAUUUGGGUGAGGAAGAUGCGCUUCCGUCGAGGACGACUUCAUUUCAAGAAGGGGAGGAUGAUGAGGACAUCAAUACCAUUGUUACACCCACAGCCCCUACUGUUACAUAUACUGGACCAAUUACUAGAGCUCGCGCACGCCAAUUAAAUUACCAGGUACUUUCGUUUCUUGGUAAUGAUUCUAAUGUUCAUGAGAUUAUAAUGCUGCCUAAAUUGGAUACAUUUGUUUUGCUUACAAAUGAAGGGCCUAGCUUGGAGAAGGAUGAACAUUGGAGCAAGAACACGCAUGGAGUUGAUGGCAUGCGCAAGGGGAUCAAGAACGGAGUUACAAGUGAUGGUUUCAGGACUUUGAAGCCGCCAUAAGGAGUGCAUGAAGCCUUGGACGAAAUAUACAAGAUGCCACUUCAUAAUAUUCGUCCAUAGGCUAUUCUAGGUGCUGCGUCACCUUAUUAAUGGGCCAGGCCCAUGUAAUUUCGAAAUACUUAAGUACAUGCUAUUUUUAGAGUCCGUAUGUGUGGGGAAACAAGAGUUAGGGUUGGUUUCGGACCCCACCCUCAAGGGCCACGAAAUUCCCCCCUCUUCCUCCAUAUAUACAACCCUUAGGGCAUCGUUUAGACUUUGGGUUUUG
rnacentral:lncRNA from 1 species